GGAAAUAAUCUUGUUAAUUUAGUGAAUUUAACCCAGUGGGCCAAGCAUCUGGUGAGCAGAGUGUGUGCUUGUAGUUGCAUCUUAGUUUUUCCUUCUUCUUUUUUCUCAGACUGUUAAUAUGUCUAACAUAGCACAGACUCACAGUUUGACUCAAAGGGUUCAUUUACUGAGCCCCCAUCCCUGCAAGGAGCCUUCACCCCUCUGCUGGAGGUGGAAAGAUUCCUGUGCCCAGAGCAUGGCUGGGGGACGUGGAGGGGCAGAGGCUGCAUGCAGGUAUCAUGGUCACCCUGGUCCCUGUGGCAUGAAGGUGAGGGAGCGCUACCCACCUAGCGAGGCCCUGGUUUUGCAAGCCCCUCUACAAGACUGUUCACAUUGAAAUCAAGAGAAUUUUUAUCACAUGGAUGAAGUUAGUGCUGCA
rnacentral:lncRNA from 1 species